CCUACGGGUGGCUGCAGUGGGGAAUAUUGGACAAUGGGCGAAAGCCUGAUCCAGCCAUGCCGCGUGUGUGAAGAAGGCCUUCGGGUUGUAAAGCACUUUCAGUGGGGAAGAAAGCCUUGGGGCUAAUACCCUCGAGGAAGGACAGCACCCACAGAAGAAGCACCGGCUAACUCCGUGCCAGCAGCCGCGGUAAUACGGAGGGUGCGAGCGUUAAUCGGAAUUACUGGGCGUAAAGCGCGCGUAGGCGGUCUGAUAAGCCGGUUGUGAAAGCCCCGGGCUCAACCUGGGAACGGCAUCCGGAACUGUCAGGCUAGAGUGCAGGAGAGGAAGGUAGAAUUCCCGGUGUAGCGGUGAAAUGCGUAGCGAUCGGGAGGAAUACCAGUGGCGAAGGCGGCCUUCUGGACUGACACUGACGCUGAGGUGCGAAAGCGUGGGUAGCAAACAGGAUUAGAUACCCGAGUAGUC
rnacentral:rRNA from 1 species